UCAACCAAAUAGGGCAGGAUUGACCAGAAGCCUCUCUCUGACUUCCUGAGGGAUUUCAUAUGCAGAGGAAAAACACUAGGAAAUACACUAGGAGCACUUAACGCAUCUUUGGCUAUCCUGUGCUGCUAAAUUGAAUGCAGAAAGCAGCCACCAUUCACCAGAGAUUCUCAGUGCUUUCUUUCAGAGCCUGAGGCAUGGAUGCCACCUCUGAAUGGUGAUGGUGAAUCUGCAACAGCCUGAGGAACCAAACCUCAAAUGCAAAGGCAUCAGUAUUUAGACCAGGACAGAGAAGGCAUUCCCAAGUCACACUCUGAAAACAGUUCUACUUCUCCUUGAAAACUUCUACAGGACAUGGUCAUUGCCCAGUCAAUAUCCAAGUUAUCCUGUUUAAUAAAGAAAAUAACUUCCUUUA